rnacentral:rRNA from 1 species
ACGAACGCUGGCGGCGUGCUUCACCCAUGCAAGUCGAACGGAAAGGCCCUGCUUGCAGGGUGCUCGAGUGGCGAACGGGUGAGUAACACGUGGGUGAUCUGCCCCUUACUUUGGGAUAAGCCUGGGAAACUGGGUCUAAUACUGGAUAGGACCAUGCUGUAGGUGGUGUGGUGGAAAGAUUAGUUUCGGUAAGGGAUGAGCUCGCGGCCUAUCAGCUUGUUGGUGGGGUAAUGGCCUACCAAGGCGUCGACGGGUAGCCGGCCUGAGAGGGUGGACGGCCACAUUGGGACUGAGAUACGGCCCAGACUCCUACGGGAGGCAGCAGUGGGGAAUAUUGCACAAUGGGCGCAAGCCUGAUGCAGCGACGCCGCGUGGGGGAUGACGGCCUUCGGGUUGUAAACUCCUUUCAGCCAUGACGAAGCCCUUGUGGUGACGGUAGUGGUAGAAGAAGCACCGGCUAACUACGUG